GUCUGUACCGUGUCUUCGUGAUUUGUCUGCAAUAAACCCCUUAGUUGUCUUGGGAUUUCUGCGUCUGCCUGACCCUGAUUCCCCGCUCCAUGCUCGCCGUCGGUCUGACAGUGAUAAUCGAUAAAAUAUAUCGCUAUCGUGCUGAAUUUAAUUAUGCUAAUAAAACGCACCCGGGGAUGAGAUUCCGCAUGACAGUUGUCAUUCGUCAAGUUCUCUGCAUCUCAGGACCACAUUUUUGGUUUUCUGCAUUUUCUGUUUGAUUUUACACUUCAGAGCUGCAAGAUUUUGUUUUUGUGAUUCCUUUUCUUAGCCUAUAACUUGUCAGAUUUAAGAAAGUCAAAGUGUAAGUGAAUGAAGACAAAAUCCAUCUAGCUCCGACUUCCUUAAAUCCAACAAGUUACCCAGCCAAGCAAGAACCUGCUUUGUGGAACACAGAGCUUCUGCACCUCAGGACAACAGGGCCACCGAACGUACAUGGUGAGAGCUAAAAUUAAUAAAUGUGAAACACACCACCUACUGGAUGGAAUGCCACUUUCCAAGGACACUGAGAAUGCCACAUCAGCAGAUCAACGCAGUAGAUGUCGUAUUGGAAAAAGGCCUCUUUCUGUGCGCCUGCAUCGUUUGCAGUCACAGCCAGACGAGAGCCCCGGGGUGCUGCUAGGUCACCUCAAUUAUCAGUCUUGAUAUGCUAGCAGUAAGAAUAACACUCCAGGGAUCAUCCUUUGGCGAUAACACAAGAAAACAGGCUAGAAUACUAAAAACACAGGUCCUCUUUUCUCCCCAGAAUUAGCAUUUCCCAAUCUCUUGCCACAGAAGCGAAACAAACAAAAAUAUUCUUGAUGGGAAAAAAAAAAUCUCAUUAAACUAUGAGGUGGAUGCAAAUAGGAGCACCAUCGAAUGUGGAGGAACCAAUAUGACAGGGGCACCUGGCUUAAGAUGACAGAAACAAGUUGCGUCAGGCCCUUCGGCAGGCAUCCCGACAGGUGCAUUCAGUGGGGACGACAUCCAUUUCUUUCCUUCAAGUCAAGACCCAUCUGUCUCAUCUUGGGCUUAUUUAAUCAGCUGUAAAAGGUUGGACCACAGAUACACACAGACACAUUUAAUUUAUUUAUCGCAGUCUGAAUUCAUUUACAAUUGCAUGAAUGACCCUGGCCAGAGGUUACAAGAUGAAAGGAUAGAUAUUUGAUGGAUGGAUUGAAGGAUAGAUAUGUUAAGAAUGAACAAGGAAGUUCCUAUAAUGUCCACUUUUAUAAUGUUACUUUGUAUUUGCUAGUAAUGAAGGUUCAUCUAACUGAUAUUAGACAGCCUGGUCAGCAUGUCUGUAUACAUCUAAGGAUGUAGCAACUUUGCAAUAAAUGUUACAUAUC